AUCUGUGUAGAGAUAUAGACUAUAGUUAAAGAAUAAUUUGAUUCUUAAUAUAUAAAAGCGGAGGGGAGCGAAGUUAUCGUAUCGUAUUUAUGGAAGCGUAAUAGUGUCCUGUGUCCCGAUAUUUCACGUUUUCUUUUCGAUCUUCUCUUUCUCCUCCAAGGUUCGCCCUCUUUCGCUGUUGCAUCGCAUCGCAUAGCUUAUUCAAUUCUCGCACUUUCCCUUUCAAUUACCAAUUUUAUCUUCGGUAAGCUUUUUUCAAUCCCCUCUAUUCUUCUUUCCCUUCUCUCUCCAUCUCUCUUUUCCCCCUAAAUUUUUAGGGUUUCGAUUCAAAUCCCCUCUUUUAUUUUCUCUUGUUCUCUGCUCUCCAAUUAUCAUCGAAUCUCUACUUUCUUCUUCUAUUUUUAAAUUUGGGACGUUUUUUUUUUCUUCCUGUUUUGGGUUUAGGGUUCUAAUAAGCAAAAACAAAAUCAAAAAAAGUUUGUUGCGAAUUGGGGAUUAGGGUUUUCCCUUAGAAUUCAUCAAUUUAGGCAGAUAUAUGGCGGCUGGUAGACAUGGCAGUUACCACGAAAACGAGUUUAGGGAUAACGGGUCCAAUUUGGAUGUUUCCAGGCGCGGUUAUUCAAAAGAGCAUGAUUCGGUUAGGAAUGGUGUCCACAAUGAUGUGAGGAGUGGGGACAGAGAUUCGAGAGAUAGGAUUAGGUUGAGGCAGAAGGAUGUUAGGGAGAGAGAAGAUGUCAUUAAUGGCAGUUACCGGUCAUCUUCUUCAAGCCGGAGUGACUCCGGUAGUAGUGGUGGCCUUGGUCCUCGCCGGUGUGGUUUUUCUGUGAAGGCAAUCGACAGAGAGCCUGGCGAGCUUUCUAGUGAGAGUGGGUCUGAUGGGGCUAUUGAAUCAGAGUCUGGGGUGAAAGAUUGUGAGGUUGCUAUGUUUGAAGGAAAUAGAUCUCGGUCCCCUCCACCACAGGAGAGGAAAAGGAAAUUUUCACCGAUAGUGUGGGAUCACGAUGACAAGGAAGUGAAGGAGUUUUCAAAAGUCAGGGUUUCCACCACAAAGGUGACUUCUCUUCCUCCUCUGCCUCGGCUGUCAAAAGCUUCUGUUCUGUCACCGAAUACUUCUUAUGGUGAAGUUCAAAUACGUUCUGACAGGGGCAGAGAAACUGGCGAUGUUGAGUUGGCCACAGCAGCUAAGGUUACUUCUGGUUCUCCGUCAGGAUUGCGGUCCUUGUCACCAAAACAGACUUGGAGUAAUGAUCAGGAAGCUGAGCAGCCAGAUGGUGAAGAUUAUGUUCCAACUCGAAAUAUAUCAUCUUCAAGAUGGGCAGCCGGAGAUGACUCUCCUGUUGAUGAGGGUGAAAUCCUCAAUGAUGAGGAAAUGCCUAAAAGGAAGAGGAGGUUAACUCCUGAGUUGUUAGAGACUAGACUGAGGAACAAGCUAUUGAGCCCCAAUUAUUCUAAAAUAGAAGGUAUUGAACGAGCUAGAGCCAAAUCAUCCGAUUCAGAAGAAAGAGGUGUUAUCCAUGGGAGAACAUCUAGUGGGGAUGGACAUCCUGGUCUUGAUUCAGAAAAGGAUGACUAUAUGGACAUUGAUGUUCGAGGUAUGAAAAGCGACACCAGUAUUAGUCACUCAGAUACCGAAUCUGAAGAUGAUAGGGAGGAGACUCCAGAACCUCCAGCUCAACCUCAAAGAAUGGUCAAUAUGCUUCAGGGUUGUAGAAGUGUUGAUGAGUUUGAGAGACUUAACAAAAUAGAUGAAGGAACAUAUGGUGUGGUAUAUAGAGCUAAAGAUAAGAAAACCGGCGAAAUUGUAGCAUUAAAGAAGGUCAAGAUGGAAAAGGAAAAAGAAGGCUUCCCACUGACUUCUCUUAGGGAAAUAAACAUUCUUCUUUCUUUUCACCACCCAUACAUAGUUGAUGUCAAGGAAGUAGUGGUCGGAAGUAGCCUCGAUAGUAUUUUCAUGGUAAUGGAAUACAUGGAACAUGAUCUUAAAGGGUUGAUGGAGUCAAUGAAGCAACCAUUUAGCCAAAGUGAAGUGAAGUGCUUAAUGAUCCAGCUUUUAGAAGGUGUGAAGUAUCUUCAUGACAACUGGGUGCUUCAUAGGGAUUUGAAGACUUCAAACCUGCUUCUAAAUAACAGGGGUGAGCUAAAAAUUUGUGAUUUUGGGUUGGCUCGCCAAUAUGGGAGUCCUUUGAAACCAUAUACUCACCUGGUGGUUACUCUUUGGUACAGGGCACCUGAACUUCUUCUGGGGGCAAAGCAGUACUCAACAGCUAUUGAUAUGUGGUCUCUUGGUUGUAUAAUGGCUGAACUAUUGUCUAAGGAACCCCUGUUCAAUGGAAAAACGGAAUUUGACCAACUUGACAAGAUUUUCAGAAUACUUGGCACUCCAAAUGAAACAAUUUGGCCUGGCUUCUCAAAAUUACCUGGAGUCAAGGUCAAUUUUGUCAAGCACCAGCUUCCAACUUUGGGUGGUUUUGGUCUGACUAUCUGGCCUCCCUUGGUGAUUCAAGUUACACAACUUCUGUAUUUUCUAUUAACAACCAAAAUGUUCCUUUCAGGUAUAAUCUUCUGCGUAAAAAGUUUCCUGCCACAUCAUUCACUGGAUCUCCAGUUCUUUCUGAUUCUGGAUUUGAUUUGUUGAACAAGCUUCUUACUUAUGACCCUGAAAAGAGGAUCACCGCUGAAGCUGCUCUCAAUCAUGAAUGGUUCCGUGAAGUUCCUCUUCCCAAGAGCAAAGAAUUCAUGCCUACAUUUCCUGCUCAACAUGCUCAGGACAGGCGGAUGCGGAGAAUGUACAAGAGUCCAGACCCUUUAGAAGAGCAGCGACGGAAGGAGUUGCAGCAGGGUGAACUGGGGACUGGCGGAAUUUUUGGUUAAGAUUGGAGCUAUUUAAACCUCUGUCUCAAUAAUCAUUCUAACAUGCCACAUUAAUAGUUUGCAUUGUUGAGGUGAGGGUAUGCACUGAACGGAAGUUGCAAGCUUUAAUUGUUAGACGAUCACUCGUGCUGUUUUUUAGCAGGAACUUAUUGGUUUGAGCAGAGAUGUAUUCUUUUACCUCCUGGGAACCCGAUUUCUUUCAGAGACCGUUGGUGUGAAGUGGAAGAGGGCCUUCUGUGCAUUUCAUUGAAGAAAAUGACAGGGACUUUAUUAUGCAUUAAUUAAAGUAUCAAAGCAAGCAGGUUGAGGAGGAUACCAGGAUAUCCUAAAGUAUAGGAGUUCAAUUAGUUGUUCCUUCAGGCUCCCUAGAGCUGGGAGAUGCGGUUGCUAAGAGAUUUAAAGCAUCCGGUCUGAUGGGCGAUAUAGUAAGCAUAACCUGUGGAUUUUUUUUCUCUCCCCCCUCUGUUUGCAGUAGGCAGGUUCUGAAGAUGAAAUUUCUGGGUUUGUACUCGCCCCAGAAUUAAAUAUAAUUAAAAAUAUUAUUAGAAAAGUUGAUAUAUUUAGUUAAAAUAAAAAAAAUGGAUAUAUCACCUUUUCAGAUAUAUUUUUUUAUUUAUAUUUCAUUCUAGAGUAGUACUUGGUGUGUUGGCAAUAUACUCUCAACAAGUCUCUCAACAAGUGAAUGUGCAAUCAAUUUCACUUGCUGCAAAGACUUGUAGCAACGUGUUGCAUGUGAUAUGGGGGAUAUCAUUAAAAUAGAAUUUGGCCAUUAUCUAGAAAUUUGUAAUGAGAUGAUUUGAAUGGUAGCAACAUCAAGAAUCAGAGGCCCUCUUUGACCCAGAUGUUCGUUAACCGUUGCUUCGUCGCAUAAAACACACCAGGAGAGGGAAUAAACCCGACAUAGUAAAAUUGAUUUUAUUGAUUUAACUGCAGUUUUAUGAAGUGUUAUUGGUUUAAGAGAUAGUUUUAUAUCA